AUACACAUACAGCACACAAACACACCACAGAUACAUAUACUUCACACACACACACAGCACAGAUACACAUACAUCACACACUCACACACACACUCAUACACACUCACACACAGCACACAAACACACCACAGAUAUACAUACAUCACACAUUCACACACACACUCAUACACACUCACACACAGCACACAAACACACCACAGAUACACAUACAUCACAUACACACUCUCACACACACCACAUAUACACAUACAUCACACACUCACACUUGCACACAAAUACACCACAGAUACACAUACAUCACAUACACACCACAGAUACACACACAAACACACAUACACAUACACACACACACACAGCACACAAACACACCACAGAUACACAUACAUCACAUACACACUCACACAUACACUCAUACACACUCACACACAGCACACAAACACACCACAGAUACACAUACAUCACACACACACACAGAGCACACAAACACACCACAGAUACACAUACAUCACAUACACACACACUCAUACACACUCAUACACACACACACACACACAGAUGCACAUACAGCACACACAGCACACAAACACACCACAGAUACAUAUACUUCACACACACACACACACCACAGAUAUACAUCACAUACACACUCA
rnacentral:lncRNA from 1 species